CCUACGGGUGGCAGCAGUCGAGAAUAUUUCACAAUGGGCGAAACCCUGAUGGUGCGACGCCGCGUGCAGGAUUGAGGCCCUCCGGAUUGUAAACCCCUUUCAGGUGGGAGCAAAUUAAAAAGAGUGAACCACAAAUUGUAGAUACGGCCAGCACAGUGACCGCAGCCGCGGUUAUACGGAGGUCUCGAGCGAUGUUCGGAUUUACUGGGCGUAAGGCGUGCGUAGGUUGGUGCGUAAGUCGGGUGUGAAAUGCGGGGGCUCAACCCGGGGACUGCACUUGAGACUGGGGGCCUUGAGUGAUGGAGGGGAAGCCGGAAUUCUUGGUGUAGCAGUGAAAUGCGUAGAUAUCAAGAGGAACACUGGUGGCGAAGGCGGGUUCCUGGA
rnacentral:rRNA from 1 species